rnacentral:pre_miRNA from 1 species
UACCGCCGCCGCGUCGGCCAACGAGGAGGCCGGAGCUUCCAGAUCUGGUGCCGACCCCAGCCUCCUCGCUGGUGGAUCCGACUGGCUGGA